AAGCACCCACAAUAGCUCCAUAUAUGACACUCUCGGGUCACAAUGUUUGAGAGACUUCAUCUCAAAGGGCAACGGCACCCAGUUAUCUCAAGUCUUAGGUACUAGACUGAAUAAGUCGUCAUACUACAGAAAAGACAUAAACAUACUAAGACGACGACAUAUUAGACAGAAACUCCACAUGUAAAUGCAUUAAUACAGAGAGGGACAGAACAGUCUGUGCUUGUAUCAUCCAACACUAUCAUUAAUCUAGUAUUUUUUUCAGCCUAACGAGCAUAACCAUUCUUUAGUCCUCCCGGAAACGUUCAUAAACCUUAGCUUGAAAGGUCUUGAGCUCAGCAGUUUCAGCCUCUUCAGCUUGGAAGGUAAUGUGAAAGACCUCACCAGCACACAUGUAUGAAGUUACCUUCUCAAUAUCUUUAAACCCAAAUGGUACACCCUAAAAAAAAACAACUACUCCAUAAUUAAUCUGAAAAGUAAUGAUCCAACAAGUAGAUCACAAGGAGGAGCAACAGUAUAAAAACGGACACAAACGCAAAUAUAAGGAUGGGGAAAUGCGGGAAAGAAUUCAGUAAACCUUGGUAUCUUUGUUCUUAUCAUUGAACUCUUUAAGUGCCAUGAUAGCCAUUUCAACGAGAUCUUUGUAAAGUUGAGGAUCAUUCUUAAAAUUUCUAAUGGGGACAUAGAUAGCCUCAGGACCACCCGGAAAAACAUCUAUGUCAAAACCCUGCAAAAGUAAAUCAAUCCAACAUUCACAAUUAUCAUUCCCGCCGGUAUAUAUGCUGAUGCUCAAAGAAAGAUUAAAAAAAGAAAAAGAACAGUAGGUGAUAUCGUUAAAUACCACCGGAGAAGGAAGGAAAGGAAGGAAGGACAGAGAAUGGGAGAGAAUACUAACAUCGCUCUCCUCGAUCUGUUCGAGGUACCGUUCAAUGGUACUCUCGUCGGCCAUCUUUUCGCCGCCGAAUGGCUCGAAACCAAUAUAAGGAUUACAACGGCGAGCGCGAGUUCUUGCUAGGGCAUUCCUGAUAAAUUCCUCAUAAGUCCUUGACUCCUUGAGACCCAGCCUCGGAGGAAGCGAUGUUUUUUCAGCUGGUGGUGGUGGAGAAACGCAUUUGUUUUUUCCCCACGAUGAUCCUCCACCGCUGCUCUCACCUCCAACUUUGCGCUCCGCUUCCGGCUUCAAUUUCUGACGUUUGCCGCCGCUGCUCUCACCUCCAACUUUGCGCUCCUUUUCCGGCUUCAAUUUCUGACGUUUGCCGCGAACACGAUUGGCGCCGCUGCUCUUACCCAUCGGUUAUUUCUCACGUUUCCCACCAACACGGCUGCGCCUCGUCAUCUUGCUACAGAAACAGAAAACCCUAACUUCUGUUAACUACGGCUUACGGUUGGAUUUGAUCAGUUCUGAUAGAAUUCGCCUCGGUGGGGGUAUACCGUAUACGAAGGGAACCACGUCAAUGAGCAGUUAUAUAUCUGGAGGUGAUUAGACCGACUGGAGAUUAAUUUGAGGGCCGUCCGUUAGGCGCUCUCGUACCCGCCCUGGUGUACAGAUGAGGGCUGUUUGCUUGGUUUGGAUUUCGGCCUGAAACACGUGGUAAUGGAACUUUAAUCUCUCCAUUUUUUAUUGGACUCGACCCACUUAUUAGUUUAGACUUUUGAGUAUUGCAUUGUCCUCUAGUAUUGCAUUGAGCAUUGGACUUUCGAGUAGGUAGUAGUAGUCUUGGAAUUUUCUUUUUUUUUUUUUCAAUUUAUUCUAUUUAAAGAGGUACGAGAUUUACAAAACGAGGAAGAGAAGCAGAUUCGAACUCAAGACAUGUACAUCUUGAGUAGAAGAAGAGGGUGGAAUUUUAAAUAAGGAUGCGUCUUUAAUUCUCUAUUACGGAGCAACUUCUUUUUUUCUUUUUUUUUUUGAGUAGAAGCAGAGUUUAGAUAGAUUCGACUCUGGUCAUCACUACAAAUCAAGAUACACUCUCAGGACCAUAAAUAGCUUAUACGGGUUGAUUCAAAUUGCCUACUAACAUAAUUUUCAUAUUAACUAGAGUGAAUGGCCCAAAAGGUCACUAAACUAUUAAAAAUGGCAUCCUUUAGUCACCAAACUUUUUUUAUGACCGAAAAUAUCACUAAACUCGCAAAAAUUUUUCAGCGGAGUCAUUUUACCGAAUUUCAGCGGUUUCUCAUCCGGUUACAAGGGUCUUGAAUUGAAUAAAUAUUCUGAUAUGGGCAAAAAUGUCCAAAAGAUUAUUGGGGCAAGUGAACUCACAGACUGUUUCGUUCCCAAAGUUGACCAAUCAACCGACAUUCACUUCGUCUUCUCCGGUGAAGUUUACUGGCUGUGAACACUUCACUUUCCAAUUUGACCCAGUGCAGAAGUUUACUAGCUGUGACCGAGAUUCACUCUCCUCUCUGUCUCGUCACUUCCGACCUCCCCACUCUCUCUAUCCGUCCCACCACUAACCCCAACCCCAUAUCCAACUCCGAUGACGAUGACCCCUUUGAGCCCACAAGUUUCAUCACUGCUUUCUCAACGUGGUCUUUCGAGCCAUACCCAUUAUUUGCUUAGUCUUCGAUUUCCUUCGCCGGCCACCUAGCUGAGCUGGAAAGAGUCUUGGUAGUUCUAAUGACUACACCCGGCCAAAAAAAAAAAAAGAAAGAAGAGUGACUCCACUACAUAUAUAUUUACCCAGAAAAAUGUUUUUUUUCUUUUACAGAAAAAGAAAAGAAAAGAAUGAUACUUUUUUUUUUUUGUAUUUCUGCAGCCGUGUGCUCUCACCCGUCACCAGUGGGUUGCCGAGGGCAGUCGUUGAAGGGAGUGCUAUGCUAUCCCAUUCUUCUCAGAGAAAAGAAAAUGAAUAAAGCCUAAAAGGUAAAGGUAAAAGAAGAAUCUCAGGGCCUUACCUCUCUCUCUGAUUUGUGUGCGUACCAGUUUCUACUCAAUGGUAGGGGGAGGAGGGAGUGCAGAACAACAAUUAUUCACACCACCACCAUUCCCCAUCCCCAUCCCCUUCUCUUCAAGUCAGCGAUAAUACUCUAUAAUUAUUGCCACUGCCUUUAAUCAUUCCCCCUUUCUCAUUUUAAAUUACAGUCUCUAUUUUUAUCGCCGGAGAAGACGAAGUCAAUCUAGGGGUUCAAAAGUGGUUUGGGAACGAGACAAUCUAUGGCUUCACCUGUUUCAAUAAUCUUUUGGACAUUUUUACCCUUUGACUAUAUUCCUCCAUUCCACGUUGCCCAUGCCACCGGAUGAGAAACCGUUGAAAUUCGGUAAAAUGACUACGCUGGAGAGCUUUUGCGAGUUUAGUGACCUUUUUGGCCACAAAAAAAGUUUAGUGACCAAAGGAUGCCAUUUUUAAUAGUUUAGUGACCUUUUGGGCCAUUCACUCUAUUAACUAUAACUAAAAUUAACUCGUGAUUGCAAAAGUAGGUUUUGACUUUUGAUACAAUGUGUUGUUGUCAUAGAGGUUUUCAAAAUUAAGCAUCAAAUCAUUUUCUUAUUGUCAAAUACAAACUCCUACUUUGAUCCUUAAAUUUCAAAAUGUGAUACUUUAUUCCUUAAACUGUAAGCUUUGUCCUACUUGAAUGAUGUUUUGAGAUUUUGACCAAAAAAAAAAAAGUAAUACCUUUGAGAAAGUAGAAUAGAUUCUAGAUUUAAGCGGGUAUACUUUAAGGACCAAAAUGAAAAUAAUUUUAUAUUUUAAGGACUAAAAUGGGAUAAGCUGUACAUUUUGGAGAUUAAAGUAGAAUAAAUUUUAGAGUUUAGGACUAAAGUGUCCAAUUUUAAGGUUUAAGAACAAGGCAAGAGGUUUUUUUUUUUUUUUUUUUUUUUGAGCUCAAGAACAAGGCAAGAGGUUAGGUAUAGUUAAAAGACGCAAAGUGAAAUUAUGCAACAGUGAUUAUAUCAAGUGUAAAAGCCCAGCGGCAACUCACGCUUUUAUAAUUAUUCGAAUAUUUACCAAAUAAUACUUUCACAUAAAAAAAAACUUUCAUUUGUGGUUUUGAUGUUUUAAAGUUAGUGAAGUAAUAAAAUGUUUUUCUCUUUCUUUCGAUAAUCCAAAAAAGACAAUUGAGAGGCGUUUUUGAUAGCCCUGAAAAAUCCAAAUCUCAAAUUUCUUUCUCUAAAUUAGCCCACAAGUCUACACCAUUCAAGCUCAACAAAGAGAGUAGGAGAAUAGGUCACAGCUGCCAUCAUGGUUUAGCCGAGGCCAAAGCCCCGUCAAUUUUUUCAUCAAAAAUGGCGCUGUAAAACUCCUUUUCUGAAAAGUUGCAUAACUUGUAUUGCUGCCAAAUUACCCUGAAAUUAGGUUGAAUCAUGGAGGACUUUGGCUAUAUGUUACUCUUGAUAUUAGUUUCAAAUUCCAAAACGUGUUUCCUUAGCUUUCUUGCUAUUUUGUGGGAUUAAAUUGUAGAACUUAUCCAAAGGGAAAGUUGAAAUUUCUUUGGGUGAAAGAUUUUUUGGUUGAGUUUAAAUCAACUCAACAAAAUUUUCCCAAGAAUUUCAAGCGCCUUGUUUGUUAAUAGGGGGAAGAAGAAUUUGACCGUAACCCUAUGGCUCCCUUGCAAUACAUUCUCAACUCAAUUUAAAGGGCACGUUGAUAAUUCCAUCGCUAUUCCAGUUAAACAGUUUGAUUGUUCUUAUUAUUAUUUUUAUUUGACCAUAAAUGUAGUCGGAAAAAACUGACUAUUUCAUUUUAAUUCAGACCAUGUUAAUAUUAGGACUGCACAUGAGUCGAGUUGCUUGCAAGCAUCGUUUCGCACGCAACUCGAGUCAAAACAUUCAACAUUGAGCUCGAGUCGAAUUCGAACUAAACAAGUCGAAUUUGAGUUCAAAAAUACUCAACUCGUUAACUCGCGAGUCGACUUAAUUAUAUAUAUAUUUGUUAUUUUAAUAAUAAAAUUACAAUAUAUCCCCAAAAUUUUAUUAUUUGUUAAGCAAAAGUAUUAUUUUAUUUAUUUUUUAAAAAAUUAUAUAAUUAUUUUUUAUUUUUAAACUCAAAUUUGAAUCGAACUCAAACUCGAACUUUGCAUAGAGAGUUUGUCGAGGUCAAGUUUGAUAAAAUUAAGUUAAGACUCAACUCAAUUAAGUCAAAGUUCGAUUUGACUCGAUUCAUUUGCACCACUAGUUCAUCUAUAGGUUCCAAAUCACACGAAGCUAAUUUACAUAUUUGUCCCAAUUAAAGGAGCUUUUUUUUUUUUUUUUGCAUUUUUCCCAAAAAAAAAAAUUACGCGCAAACAUGCUUUUAAAAUCAGAGAGCGAAAUGAAUUCAAGUGCAUACCAUUAUGGUUCACAUUGGUUAUCAUUUGAGUAAGAGGUAGGAAUUGAUCAAAUUCAAAUUUUCCAUGGGUUGGUAAUAUGUGGUAAAAAUUAAUAGUAUAGUAAUUUUUUUACACUAGUAACUUUAAAUAUAUGUUACAUGUGCAUAAUAUAAAUUUCAAAUUUAAAUACAUGACAAUCAAACAAGUAAACAGCACCAAACCCUAAAGACUAAGUAUUUAACUUUUUAUGCACUAACAACUUUGGACAUAUAUCAAAUGUGUAUGAUUUAAUUUCAAAUCAUGUUAUAUGACAUGAUUUAAAUAUGCUCAUGUAAAAAAAAUUAUACACCGAUAAUGUAUAAAAAAUUUAUCCGAAGACUAAAUGCACACCACUUGACUCCAAUGCUUUUUCACGUUUAUAAGUUGGGGAUUAAUAUUUAUACACUGUCGGUAUAAAGUUUUUUUUUUCACAAGCAAGUUUAAAUGACUGCCACGCCAUCGCUAUUCAAAUUUCAAAUUCACUUUUUAUCCGUAUGUCAGUUGUUACUCUAAAAAAUCUUUGCACUAACAUUAAUGUUAUUGACACUUUGACAUUAUUUAUAACAUUAAUGCUUUAUAGAGACCACAUGAGAACACUUUGCACCUAUAUUUUGUUGCGAUGGGGCAGCCAAUACAACUAGCAUCAUUCACUGUGAUACCAAAUCUUCGUUUCGAGUAUGUCUAGCAGAAGAUGAAUUCGCAGGCAUAACCAGUUUCAAGGAUUUGAAGAUACCUAAUAAAAGAUGAACUCACGCAACAAUUUUAUUGAGGCUAUUGCAUGGAUUGACCUCUAUUUUACGCAAUUUGGUGAUAGAUAAAAUUUUCAGCAAGGAGGUGUCAAUGCUAUUGACACCAAUAGGUGCAAAAGUUGGAAUGACACAAACAGGCAGAGGGAUCAACGCUUCUAAUUUCAAAUGGGAAGAAAAACAGGAUCAUAUAAAAAGGCAUAAAAAAAGUUUUCUAGAAACUGUUUCACAAGCCUCCCCCCACAGCUUAUCAUACUUGCAGGAACCUACCGUCAGGUUUGCGUAAUAUAAAAGUACGUAAAAACUAGGAGAUGUGUAGGGAUGGCAACUGGGCGGGGUUGGGGCGGGGACCCCUCCCCCAUCCCCCGCCCCACUGCCUACAAAUUCCCCCCGCUCCCGCCCCAUCCCCCGUCCCCCGCUCCCCCCGCCCCGCUUCCCAUUCGCGGGACUAAUAAAAAUUUGUUAUAUAAUUUUAUGAUAGUUAAAUUUUAGCAAAUAAUCAAGUACUAAAAUAUCAACAUAUCAUCAAAUUAUUAUUCAUUGUAAUUUUACAAUUGAAACUUAUAAAAACAAUCAAACAAAAAUUAUUUGAAUACAAUCCAACAUGACAAAAUAAAUAUAACUAAAGUAGUCAUGUUUUUACUUUUGACACAAAUACAAUCACUAAUUCAUUAUUGUGCUUGUGUUUUUUUUAAGAAAAAAUUGUUAUUGCAUUAAAUGUAAUUAGGAAUUUAGUAUAGAUGUAUUAGUAAAUUUAGUAUAACCAAUUAAUAAUUUGUAUUAGUAUACAUAUAUAAUUAUUAGUAUAAUUAAUAAUAUCAAUUAUAUUAUAUAUAUACUAAUAGACAUUAUAUAAUACAUAUAACUAAUAAUAUCAUUAUCAUAAAUUUGUAACUAAUUAAAUUAUAUAUUAUAUAUAUAAUUAUAUGCAUAUAUAUUAUAUAUUUAUUUUUUUAAAGCAGGUGGCGGGGCGGGGGAUGUGACACUCCCCCGCCCCCCGCCCCAACCCCCUCCCAGUUAGCCCCCGCGGGGCGGGUGCCUGCCCAUUGCCAUCCCUAGAUGUGAGUCUAAUUAUUAAAAACCCGAGGUAAGCUUUGUGCAAUUAUGAUAAACUUCAACAGUGCCAGUGAAACCAUCCCAAGUUCUAAACCAGAAUGAAGGGAGCAGAUUAAAAAUAGGAACACAAAAUGGCCUACUUUACCACUAAUGGCCCAGUUCUGCAUAAACGAACAAUUUGGCCAUUUAGUAGGCUAAGAUAUCAUCAUGAUAGCAAGGAGUGCAUUAAGCUAUAUAAGUGCAGUAAUGGUUCCUCAUGCUACUAGAUUUCAUUACCACAAUACGAAAUACGAGAUUCAUCUACAAACAAAAUUAACUAAUAUCUCCACAGCUCACAAAUUUCAAAUUCAAAACUCCCAAGAGGUUUUCAAUCUACAAUACAGCGCCCGUAGAUUGUAUCCACACAAAACAUGCCAAAACCAGCUAAACAAAACCUUCAAUGUUGUUUAAGAGAACAAAAACCUUCAAGCUAAACAAACUCAGCAUGCAUCUUUAGUCCUAAAUAUGCUAUGGCUAGUGAAACUCACCCAUGCCACCUAUACACAGAAAUUUAAAUGAAACUAAAGGACAACACAAGUACCUCUAGACCCUUCAAAGCACUUGUACAGAAGGUACAUGUCUGAAAAUCUGAAAACACACAGCCAUGCCAAACUAAUGCUGUGGAGAAGUAUGCAAAAUUCUCCAGUGAAUAGUUCAAUAAAUGGCUGAAUCUAUGCAUCUAAGGUAAAUAUUAAAGAAUGUUCCACUGUAUCUUUUCCAAUUGUUCAAGGACCUUCCUGACAAAUUUUACAGGACGCAUGAAAUUUACGAACACAAAGGUAGUGUAAAUUGUCUUCAAUGUAGUCGUGCAUGCCUUCCUAUCAAAAUAGAAUGUAAAUUGGAAAAUAACAGAUUUCACGACUUCAAACCUGUAAUUGCAUUGAAAGAUCUAAGAAACUUCUCACCUAGUUAAACAGUAACUGGAACUGGAGACCGCAAUUAAACUGUCAAGACAAGCACCCACAAUAGCUCCACAUAUGACACUCUCGGGUCACAAUGUUUAAGAGACUUCCUCUCAAAGGGCAACGGCACCCAGUGAUCUUAAGUCUUAGGUACUAGACUGAAUAAGUCGUCAUACUACAGAAAAGACAUAAACAUACUAAGACGACGACAUAUUAGACAGAAACUCUACAAGUAAAUGCAUUAAUACAGGGAGGGACAGAACAGUCUGUGCUUGUAUCAUCCAACACUAUCAUUAAUCUAGUAUUUUUUUCAGCCUGACGAGCAUAACCUCUCUUUGGUCCUCCCGGAUAGGUUCAUAAACCUUAGCUUGAAAGGUCUUGACCUCAGCAGUUUCAGCCUCUUCAGCUUGGAAGGUAAUGUGAAAGACUUCACCAGCACACAAGUAUGAAGUUACCUUCUCAAUAUCUUUAAACCCAAAUGGUACACCCUAAAAAAAACAACAACUC
rnacentral:lncRNA from 1 species